UGUGUGAAGGACGGGUUUUGCUGGAUAUUGUGAAGGUUCCCCUUUAGCUGCUUUUAGUGGGAUGCCUGCUGUUAAUGCCAUUAUUUGAACAAGGUUCCAUCAAAACCUUUGAACUUUUGGAAAAAGAGAAACCCAGUACAGGGGAAAGAAUACUCCCAAGGAAAAUUUCUAACAUGUUGUAGAAGCUUAAAAAUUGAUAAUUAUGUAGAACAAUGCAUCAAUAUGUGUGCUAUGAUAACUUUAGUAUGUGUAGUUAUAGUCAAACCAUUUAAAAUUACAAUGUCAUUUCUCUUCUUUGUAUCUCUUUGUUUUCACGAGUCACAUGGCGAAAUCAACAAAUACUACAUCGUCCCUCUGAGGAUUCAGCUGUGGAAAAGCAUCGCUCACUCAUCUCCAGGAUGAUGAAACCAGAAGAGGAAGAGGAAAGGGCUACCUCACAGCAACAUGUCUGCGUUCUGGGUGUUCUCUUGCCUUCUUGAGCCUGACAGAAGCAAGGAAAGGGUGAGAGAAGCCCCACCGUGGAGCUCCUCCAAAGAACUCGUCGGUCACCAGUGAGAGAGGCCACUUCGAAUGCUUGUCAAGGCCAGAGAACUCUGAUACUGGAUCUUCACAAGACUGCCAUAUGAGUAAGAGAUUCCUGCUCCCCCUUCCUCAUCUUCCUCCCAGUACCCUGA